rnacentral:rRNA from 1 species
AAGCUCGUAGUUGAAUUUCGGGAUCAAUAUACCGGUCGUGCCUCAGGUAUGAACUGGUCUUAUUGGUUUCUCCCUUCUGACGAAUCAUGAUGUCAUUAAUUUGAUGUCGUGGAGAAUCAGGACUGUUACUUUGAAAAAAUUAGAGUGUUUAAAGCAGGCUAACGCUUGAAUACAUUAGCAUGGAAUAAUGAAAUAGGACGUUCGAUCCUAUUUUGUUGGUUUCUAGGAUCGACGUAAUGAUUAAUAGGGAUAGUUGGG